UACAGAGGUCUCGAGCGUUGUUCGGAUUCAUUUGGGCGUAAAGGGUGCGUAGGUGGCGCUGUAAGUCAGGUGUGAAAUUUCGGAGCUUAACUCCGAAACUGCAUUUGAUACUGCGGUGCUUGAGGACUGGAGAGGAGACUGGAAUUUACGGUGUAGCAGUGAAAUGCGUAGAGAUCGUAAGGAAGACCAGUGGCGAAGGCGGGUCUCUGGACAGUUCCUGACACUGAGGCACGAAGGCCAGGGGAGCAAACGGG
rnacentral:rRNA from 1 species